rfam:Oryza glaberrima chromosome 1 Oglab01_0017_18, whole genome shotgun sequence.
AAUAAACGCAGCCAUGAGUUUCCGCGUACAACUUUCAUCGUCCAUCUUAUUUAAAAACUUUUUUAUGAUUAGUAUUUUUAUUGAUAUUAGAUUAUAAAACAUGAAUAGUACUUUAUGCGUACUUAUGCUUUUUUAGUUUUUUCAAAAAAAAUAAAUAAGACGAACAAUCAAAGUUGGACACGAAAACUUAUGGCUGAGUUUAUU